AUGUAUGCAUGUUUGUCUGCAUAUACGUAUGUGCAUCAUGUGUGUGCCUGGUGCCCACCCACCUAGGCUAGAAGAGGGCAUUGGAUACCCUGGAAGUGACGUUAGAGAGGAUGGUCAGACACCGACCGUAUGGGUGCUGGGAACCAAACCUGAGUCCUCUGCAAGAGCAAUAAAUGCUCUUAACCACUGAGCCAUCUCAAGCUCCGGCUGUGGAACUCUGAGCAAUACCUUUCUUUUUGCUAUCUUAGAAUACUGUUCUCUGGUAGAUUGUCUUCCAUAACUGUCACCUGAGUUAAAACAGUACUUAUGUAAAUUAUUUUGAGAAUUAUCACUAAGGGGGAGGUAGGGCUUAAAUAAGGUAAAUAUAAUUUUUAUGUAUUUUAGCCAGAAUGUCUACUGAUCUAUCCCAGUCACUAUUAUAUUCUAUGGCGCAGUAACCUUUCAAAAGAAUGUUACAUUUCACCAUUAACAGUUUUUGCUGAAUGAAAGACAGUUGAGUACCAUGUUUCCUGUAAUGAUAUUUAAUAAUAUAUUAAAAGUAAAUGUCUUGAGUUUUUUCUACAAGUAACACUGCUAUCCUGACAUAAUCAUUGACAAGAACCAAUGUGUUCAGGUGGGUCCAAGCUAAAUGGGCUUUACGUGUAAUAGAAGCUUAAAGAAAAAAACAAAAACAAAAAUCAAACUCUAUCCCAUAUUGAUUUUGAGACCACCACCACCCAAACUACAAGGAAAAAAAUGUUCAUUAUGAUUUAGCAGUCUUGACCUACACUUAUUCCGGCAUUUACCUCUGACAGUAACUUAGGAAGUUUGGUUUUCAGAGCCCUGGAUCAAAGCUCCAGGAUGUAUGGUCUUAAAGUGUAAAACCCCUGUCACACACACUGCUCUCCCUGAACGUGAUCAUUGCCUUUGAAAGAUGAUUCUAGAUAUGCAGUCCAAGCUGGGGGUAGGAUUUGCUUUUGCUUAACUCCAAGUCAAAAGCUUUCCCUUGUGUUAAGCACCUGAGAUCUCUCUGGCAGUAGGGACACUCACAGAAGCAUAGAUGGACUGAGCAGACAAAAGGCAAAUGACACCUUACAUCAGAAUCUGGCAUUAUGGUCCCUUUGUGCUUUGAAUUCACAGGUCCCACUUCUUUCCUGGACAGGAGUGGGGAGAAUAAAACCUCUUCCUCCCAUGGUAGUUUUGUUUUUCCAAGCUAAGAAUGGGCUUGGUGUUUGGCUGCCACACGAAGGGGUAGGUGCAGAAAUGUCACUGAGAAUGGUAUCAGGAGGCCACCCCCAGUCCGUGGUCACUACACUGCCAGCUGCAUUUCCAAGGUGCCUUUGCAGUUCAUGGCUGUGAGCAGAACACACAUUCUUUGUUUACACUGUUGAACAUGCAAAGGAGACCUGAGCCAGACUAAUGUGAGUUGUUGCUUCCUGAGAAACAAAGGGUUUUGAGUUUCAACUGAAAGUAUUAUGGAGAGAAAGUGUAUUUUUUUUUUUUUUUUUGGUCUAUUUAAAGUCCAUAUGAAUGAGGAAAAUAGAUCUGAUUGGUCAUUAAAAUUGCAGACAUGACCUCCUGAGUUAAAGUACUAUAUUUGUUUUUUAAUCAAAUAACCAUGCUAUAUUUUUAAAAGUAUUUGAUAGCUCCAUGUAAAAUAAUAGUUGAUAAUUUUACAUUUAUUUUGCCUUGGGUAGGAAUUCUGUCAUUAUUCCCAUACAGGUGUCUCUUGUUCAUGUGCCAGGUCACAAACUUCUCCACAGAGGUUUCACAAGUGAAGGACAUCUGAGGUGGUAGUAAUUUUAAACUGUGUUUUUGUUUCUUCAGAGUUUGGUGCUUUGAAUUU
rnacentral:lncRNA from 1 species